rnacentral:rRNA from 1 species
CCUACGGGUGGCAGCAGUGAGGAAUAUUGGUCAAUGGGCUAAGGCCUGAACCAGCCAAGUCGCGUGAUGGAAGACGGUCCUAUGGAUUGUCCACCUCUUUUGUCGGGGAGCAAAGAGGCCACGUGUGGCCGAAGUGAGCGUACCCGAAGAAACAGCAUCGGCUAACUCCGUGCCAGCAGCCGCGGUAAUCCGGAGGAUCCGAGCGUUCUCCGGAUUUAUUGGGUUUAAAGGGAGCGUAGAUGGGUUGUCAAGUCAGUGGUGAAAGUUUGCGGCGUAACCGUAAAAUUGCAAUUGAUACUGGCAGUAUGGAGUACAGUUGAGGUAGGCGGAAUGCGUGGUGUAGCGGUGAAAUGCUUAGAUAUCACGAAGAACCCCGAGUGCGAAGGCAGCUUACUAAACUGUGACUGACAUUGAUGCUCGAAAGUGUGGGGAUCAAACAGGAUUAGAUACCCUGGUAGUC